GACGAACGCUGGCGGCGUGCCUAAUACAUGCAAGUCGAACGCAGUGGGGACGGGUGAGUAACACGUGGGUAACCUCCCAUCAGAGGGGAUAACACUUGGAAACAGGUGCUAAACCGAUACUGAUUGAUGGACCCGCGGUGCAUUAUCUAGUUGGUGAGGUAACGGCUCACAAAGGCCACGAUGCAUAGCCGACCUGAGAGGGUGCUCGGCCACACUGGGACUGAGACACGGCACAGACUACGAAGGGAGGCAGCAGUAGGGAAUCUUAGGCAAUGGACGAAAGGCUGACCGAGCAACGCCGCGGGAGUGAAGAAGGUUUUCGGAUCGGAAAACUCUGUUGUUAGAGAAGCGGUAUCUAACCAGAAAGCCACGGAUAACUACGUGCCAGCAGCCGCGGUAAUUC
rnacentral:rRNA from 1 species